GACGAACGCUGGCGGCGUGCUUAACACAUGCAAGUCGAACGGAAAGGCCCUGCUUUUGUGGGGUGCUCGAGUGGCGAACGGGUGAGUAACACGUGAGUAACCUGCCCUUGACUUUGGGAUAACUUCAGGAAACUGGGGCUAAUACCGGAUAGGAGCUCCUGCUGCAUGGUGGGGGUUGGAAAGUUUCGGCGGUUGGGGAUGGACUCGCGGCUUAUCAGCUUGUGGGUGGGGUAGUGGCUUACCGGGGCUUUGACGGGUAGCCGGCCUGAGAGGGUGACCGGCCACAUUGGGACUGAGAUACGGCCCAGACUCCUACGGGAGGCAGCAGUGGGAAAUAUUGCACAAUGGGCGGAAGCCUGAUGCAGCAACGCCGCGUGCGGGAUGACGGCCUUCGGGUUGUAAACCGCUUUCGCCUGUGACGAAGCGUGAGUGACGGUAAUGGGUAAAGAAGCACCGGCUAACUACGUG
rnacentral:rRNA from 1 species